UGAAUCCCUCUCCUGCGAAAAUGAGAAACUCUAAAGAAUUCACAUUGGAUUUUUCUGUCAAGACUAGAUGAUUGAGCAGCUAAUAAGCUACUGACAUCCAGUGGGUGAGUUCAACAACUGAAUGGAGAAGACAGAGGAAAGAACCAGUGAACAUGAAGAUAAGACAAAGUUACCCAAUCUGAACCACAAAGAGAAAAUAAACUGAAAAAAAGAAUGAACUGGUCCUCAGGAACCAGUGGAACUAUAACGAAAGAUAUCCAUUUAUGUAAUCAGAGCCCCAAAAGAAGAGAAAGAGUGAGAUGGAAAAAGUAUUCAAAGAAAUGAUGGCUGAAAUUUUUCAAAUUUGUCAAAAUACAUAAACCUAUAGAGUCAAGAAGCUGGACAAAUCACAAAUAGGAGAGACCCAAAGAAAUCACUCCAAGGUACAUCAUACUUCUUAAAACUAAAAGAAAAAAAUCUUGAAAGCAAUGACAGAAAUAACACCUAUAGGGGAAUUUUUUUUAAUGACAUCAGAUUUCUCAUGAAAAACCAUGGAUUUCAAAAGAAAGUGGCAUGUUUUCCAAGUACUCAAGGGAAAGAACUAUCAAUCCCAAAUUCUACAUCUAGUGAAAUUAUCCUUCAAAAAUGAAGGGAAACUACAGAAAACUUAGAAGAACUAAGAAUUUGUCACCACUAGACCUACUCUAAAAAUUGCUAAAGAAUGUUCUUAAAAUAUAAAGAAGAUGAUAAAAGAUGAAAACUUAGAAUAUCAGGAAGAAUUAAAACAUAACAAAUAGUGAAAAUGUUGGCAAAUUCUUUCUAGUUUUUAAAAUUAUGUUUGACAGUUGAAGCUCAAAAUACAACAUUGUCUGAUGUUCUCAGUGUAUAUAGGAGAAACAUUUAAGACAAUUAUAAAUAGGGGAGAGUAAAGGAGUUAAAGGGAGGUAAGGUUUUUAUACUUGAACUAGCAAAAUAUUAAAACCAGUAGACUGUAGGGGCACUUGGGUGCCUCAGUGGUUGAGCAUCUGCCUUUGGCUCAGGUCCUGGUCCCAAGGUCUGGGAUCGAGUCCCAUAUCAGGCUCUUUUCAGGGAGCCUGGUUCUCCCUCUGCCUAUGUUUUUGCCUCUCUCUCUCUCUGUGUCUCUCAUGAAUAAAAACAUUGUUUUAAAUGAGGGAAUCCCACCACAACUACAUAUUAUAUGAUCAUAUUCAUGUGAAAUCUGUGAAUGGACAAUCUAUGGAGACUAUCUAAAAAUGUUUUUUAUAGAAGAAGCCACAGGGAAAAAUGUCAAUUGUAUUUUUAUAUGCUAGCAAUGAAUAAUUGGAUAUUGAAAUUUAAAAUAUAAUUUCACUAAUAACAAAUAUGAACUACUUAGGAAUAAACUUACAAAGGAUAUGAAAGAUCUGCUGAGAAAAAGAAAACCUUAUAAAUGGAAAGAUAUACCUUCUUUAUGGUUAAAAGACUCAUUAUUGUUAAGGUGUCAAUUUUUUCCAAACUUAUCUAUAGAGUCAGUGCAAUACCAAUCAAAAUCCCAGCAAGCUUUUUGGAAAACGUUGACUUACCAAUUCUAAAAUUCACAGAAAUAGAACCAUCAAAACAACUCAGAAAAAGAAAAAACAAUGUUGGAAGGCUAAUAAUAUGUAAAAUCACAACAGUUAUUAUAAAGGUACAAUAAAACAGUUGGUUUUAUCAUAAAGCUAAGAACACAUAUAUCAAAGGAAUAGAGGAAUCCUUGCUCUUCAAAU
rnacentral:lncRNA from 1 species